rnacentral:rRNA from 1 species
AGAGUUUGAUCAUGGCUCAGGAUGAACGCUGGCGGUAUGCUUAAUACAUGCAAGUCGUACGAGGGCUUUUAGCCCUAGUGGCGGACGGGUGAGUAACACGUGAGAAUCUGCCCUUAGGAGGAGGAUAACAGCUGGAAACGGUUGCUAAUACUUCAUAUGCCGAGAGGUGAAAGGAAUUUCUGCCUAAGGAGGAGCUCGCGUCUGAUUAGCUAGUUGGUAGGGUAAAGGCCUACCAAGGCGACGAUCAGUAGCUGGUUUGAGAGGAUGAUCAGCCACACUGGGACUGAGACACGGCCCAGACUCCUACGGGAGGCAGCAGUAGGGAAUUUUCCGCAAUGGGCGAAAGCCUGACGGAGCAAUACCGCGUGAGGGAUGACGGCCUGUGGGUUGUAAACCUCUUUUCUCAAGGAAGAAGUUCUGACGGUACUUGAGGAAUAAGCAUCGGCUAACUCUGUGCCAGCAGCCGCGGUAAUACAGAGGAUGCAAGCGUUAUCCGGAAUCACUGGGCAUAAAGCGUCUGUAGGUGGUUUGGUAAGUCUGCUGUUAAAGACUGGGGCUCAACCCCAGAAAAGCAGUGGAAACUGCCAGACUUGAGUGUGGUAGAGGUAAA